GACGAACGCUGGCGGCGUGCUUAACACAUGCAAGUCGAACGAUGAAGCCGGAGCUUGCUCUGGUGAAUUAGUGGCGAACGGGUGAGUAACGCGUGAGUAACCUGCCCUUGACUCUGGGAUAACUGUUAGAAAUGGUAGCUAAUACCGGAUACGACCCUCGGAGGCAUCUCCAGGGGGUGGAAAGAAUUUCGGUCAAGGAUGGACUCGCGGCCUAUCAGCUAGUUGGUGAGGUAAUGGCUCUCCACGGCGACGACGGGUAGCCGGCCUGAGAGGGUGACCGGCCACACUGGGACUGAGACACGGCCCAGACUCCUACGGGAGGCAGCAGUGGGGAAUAUUGCACAAUGGGCGCAAGCCUGAUGCAGCAACGCCGCGUGAGGGAUGACGGCCUUCGGGUUGUAAACCUCUUUUAGUAGGGAAGAAGCGAAAGUGACGGUACCUGCAGAAAAAGCACCGGCUAACUACGUGCCAGCCGCCGCUGUAA
rnacentral:rRNA from 1 species